GCAUAUCAUAAGCGGAGGAAAAGAAAUAACAAUGAUUUCCCUAGUAACGGCGAGUGAAGAGGAAAGAGCUCAAAGUUGGAACCGGGCUUCCUUAGGGAGUUUGGAUUGUAAACUGUAGAAGUGUUUUCCAGGCAAGCAGCGCAAAAAAGUCCUUUGGAACAAGGCAUCAUAGAGGGUGAGAAUCCCGUCUUUGGCGCUAGCAUUUGUCUUUUGUGAUACAUUUUCAAAGAGUCAGGUUGUUUGGGAAUGCAGCCUAAAUUGGGUGGUAAAUCUCACCUAAAGCUAAAUAUUGACGAGAGACCGAUAGCGAACAAGUACCGUGAGGGAAAGAUGAAAAGAACUUUGAAAAGAGAGUUAAACAGUAUGUGAAAUUGUUGAAAGGGAACCGUUUGGAGCCAGACUGGCUUGACUGUAAUCAAUCUCGGCUUUGGUCGUGAUGCACUUGCGGUCUAUGCCUGCCAACGACAAUUUUGGUUGAAGGAAAAAACUGGGAGGAAUGUGGCCAGCCUCGGUUGGUGUUAUAGCCUCUUAGAAAAUACUUUGACUGGGAUUGAGGUCUGCAGUGGAUGCUCUCGGGCGAAAUGCUGGGGUGCUUGUGUAGAUGGAUGCUAGAAUUUCUGCCUUGGGUGGUGCUAGUGUUCUGAUGUGCAACUCGCUCUAUCCAUUUUUUAUCCGCUUAGGUUGUUGGCUUAAUGACUCUAAAUGACCCGUCUUGAAACACGGACCAAGGAGUCCAUCAUGAGUGCGAGUAUUUGGGUUAGAAACUCAUAUGCGUAAGGAAACUGAUUGAUACCAAGGCCUUGAGCUGGCAGUAUCGUCCGGCGUUGACGUUUUAUACUGAUCUGACCGAGACAAAGCACUUAUGCUGGGACCCGAAAGAUGGUGAACUAUGCCUGAAUAGGGUGAAGCCAGAGGAAACUCUGGUGGAGGCUCGUAGCGAUUCUGACGUGCAAAUCGAUCGUCAAAUUUGGGUAUAGGGGCGAAAGACUAAUCGAACCAUCUAGUAGCUGGUUCCUGCG
rnacentral:rRNA from 1 species